CAUUAAUUAUAUGGAUGAAUCUAACCUUAAGUUGCAGCAAAGUGUGGAUUGAGUCGACCCCAAGAUUGGUGGAGUCAACCCCAGCACAUCAAGAAACCAUCUGGCACACUUCUGUAAAAAUGGCACGGAUGAACAGUACUUGGGUCGACCCAAGUGAAAGUUGAGUCGACCCCAUCUUCAAGCCUUAAGAAAACAAGUCUCUGGAAUCCCUGAGAGGGUCGACCCAAAUGGAACUUGAGUCGACCCAACCUUGAGUCGACCCCAA
rnacentral:lncRNA from 1 species